CACAUCCGGCCGCCGUUUCACGUCCAGAUCCGGCCGCCGUCGAGCCUGGUUCCAUCCUUCUACCUCCGUGGAGGACUACGAGAAGCGGAUGGCGGAUGAGUGUCCCGGCUAAGGGAUCAGGCCCUCCCUCCUUGCUCGGCGCGCGCAACUAACAAGGUCAGUUACUCCACGACAUGUAGCACGAGAGAGGAGCAAGUAAGCAGGAUGCAGCCAUGAAGCAAGCCGAUGGGAGGAAGGGGAAUGGUAAUUAGCUAAUCACUAAUCUACUUGUGCACUGUGGAUUUCUCAGAUUUCCUUUGAAUCACAUGACCUGACCUGCCUGGCAGACCUCCAUUAUGGAUUUCUCAAUUUUGCAAGAUGGCGGUGUGGGGUCACAUGGGAAAUUAGGCGAUAAGAACAAAUUUGCUCUUUGGUUAAACAAGGAGCUUCGACCGACUUUUGAAGCUACUAUUUCUGGAGAUGAUGAAUGGAUGGCGAUAGCCACUAAUUCUUUAGCUACCACUAACCUUUAUCAAGUGAAGUGUAGUUGCGAGCAGAAGUUCUUUGAACUUUAACAAGGUAUAUGCAUCUCACCGGCUCACCCUGUCCCCUAUUGCAUUUUUUUAUAUUGGGUUUGGGUGUUUAUUUUUCAACGGACUAAGCACAUUUAUUAGAACAUAAUGAUAUGUUAUUCUUAUACCGUUCAUACAUACCAUGGAGGCACUGACCUUGUACGCGUACCAUUUGACAUGCCAAUUAAUUUCUCUUUACUGAAUAUUAUGAUCUUCAUUUGAGGUCAAUUGCAACAGGAUAAUGUACCCGCAUCUAACUUCUUGGGAAGACAUUAUUUGAAAGAUACAUUUUCUGUACUUUUUAUAUCUAUGUUUAGAUAUUUUCCAAUUACUCGGUGUACCUUGGUUUUCAC